GAAAAUUACCAAUCCUGCUGUGCCUCCAGCUUCAUCCUCUGUUCAACCACCACCUACUCAGCAGCAGGGUCGCAAACAGCAAGCUGAGUCAGAACAUCCACCGACACUCCAGCCACCACCUCCUCCUCCUCGGGCUCCUCCAGCAAAUGAGAUGCUGCCUUCACCUGUUGCUGAUAAAAAUGAUCCCCCCAUUGUGACUUUGGAUGACCUCUUCAGAAAGACCAAAGCCACUCCCCGUAUCUAUUAUUUACCGCUGACAGAUGAAGAAGUUGCUAAAAAGCUUGCGAUUAGGCGAAAUGGUAAGCACUAGAGA
rnacentral:lncRNA from 1 species